rnacentral:SRP_RNA from 1 species
GCUGGGCGCAGAGGCACGUGCCUGUAGUCCCAGCUACUCAGGAGGCUGAGAUGGGAGGAUCUCUUGAGCCCAGGAGUUCUGGGCUGUAGUGCGCUAUGCCGAUUAGGUGUCCACACUAAGUUCAGCAUCAAUAUGGUGACCUCCCAGGAGCAGGGGACCACCAGGUUGCCUAAAGAGGGAUGAACCGGCCCAGGUCAGAAAAUGAGCAGGUCAAAACUCCCGUGCUGAUCAGGAGUGGGAUCGCACCUGUGCAUAGCCACUGCGCUCCAGGCUGGGCAACAUAGUGAGACACCCCUGUCUCA